GACGAACGCGGGCGGCGUGCUAAUACAUGCAAGUGGGACGCAAGGGAACACACUGUGCUUGCACACCGUGUUUUCUUGAGUCGCGAACGGGUGAGUAACGCGUAGGUAACCUGCCUAUUAGCGGGGGAUAACUAUUGGAAACGAUAGCUAAUACCGCAUAAUAUUAAUUAUUGCAUGAUAAUUGAUUGAAAGAUGCAAGCGCAUCACUAGUAGAUGGACCUGCGUUGUAUUAGCUAGUUGGUAAGGUAAGAGCUUACCAAGGCGACGAUACAUAGCCGACCUGAGAGGGUGAUCGGCCACACUGGGACUGAGACACGGCCCAGACUCCUACGGGAGGCAGCAGUAGGGAAUCUUCGGCAAUGGACGAAAGUCUGACCGAGCAACGCCGCGUGAGUGAAGAAGGUUUUCGGAUCGUAAAGCUCUGUUGUAAGUCAAGAACGUGUGUGAGAGUGGAAAGUUCACACAGUGACGGAGCUACCAGAAAGGACGCAUC
rnacentral:rRNA from 1 species